rnacentral:rRNA from 1 species
GACGAACUCUGGCGGCGUGCCUAAUACAUGCAAGUCGAGCGGACGGAUGGGAGCUUGCUCCCAGCCCGUCAGCGGCGGACGGGUGAGUAACACGUGGGCAACCUGCCUGUAAGACUGGGAUAACUCCGGGAAACCGGGGCUAAUACCGGAUAACUCUUUCCCUCACAUGAGGGAAAGCUGAAAGAUGGCAUCUCGCUAUCACUUACAGAUGGGCCCGCGGCGCAUUAGCUAGUUGGUGAGGUAACGGCUCACCAAGGCGACGAUGCGUAGCCGACCUGAGAGGGUGAUCGGCCACACUGGGACUGAGACACGGCCCAGACUCCUACGGGAGGCAGCAGUAGGGAAUCUUCCGCAAUGGACGAAAGUCUGACGGAGCAACGCCGCGUGAGUGAUGAAGGUUUUCGGAUCGUAAAACUCUGUUGUCAGGGAAGAACAAGUACCGGAGUAACUGCCGGUACCUUGACGGUACCUGACCAGAAAGCCACGGCUAACUACGUG